GACGAACGCUGGCGGCGUGCCUAACACAUGCAAGUCGAACGGGGUCCAUGGGAGCUUGCUCCCGGAAGACCUAGUGGCGAACGGGUGAGUAACACGUGAGAAACCUGCCCUGGAGUGGGGGAAUAACUCGGGGAAACUCGAGCUAAUACCGCAUACCCUCGGAUAGUCGCAUGGCCGACCGAGGAAAGAUUCAUCGCUUCAGGAGGGUCUCGCGGCCUAUCAGCUAGUUGGUGGGGUAACGGCCUACCAAGGCAACGACGGGUAGCUGGUUUGAGAGAACGAUCAGCCACACUGGGACUGAGACACGGCCCAGACUCCUACGGGAGGCAGCAGUGGGGAAGUCUUGCGCAAUGGGCGAAAGACCUGACGCAGCAACGCCGCGUGCGGGAUGACGGCCUUCGUGGUUGUAACCGACUUCUAG
rnacentral:rRNA from 1 species